UGCAUUUUACCUGAUGAGACAGACACAAGUCAAGGGGAAAAAUACUUGGAUCUGGAUCUUUAAUAUCCCCACGGUCCCAUGUGUUAGAGUCCUAGUGCCCAAUGCAGUGCUCCUGGGAGGGAAGUCAAACUUUAAUGAAAAGGGCAAGGUGGAGGUAAACCCUUGGAAGAAAUUUUGAUUUCUUCUUCACCCUCAUUCAUUUUCUGCCUUGCAUAAGGUGGAGCAUCUUCCUCUACCAUCUGAAAACACCGUAAGGUGCUGCAUCACCACAGGCCCAAUAGCAACAGGGCCGACUGAAUAUGCACCACAACCUUCAAAACUGUUCUGGAGGACAGAAAUCUGAAUUCAAGGCGUUGGCAAUACCAUGCUCCCAGCAAAGACUCAAGAGAAUGCUUUCUUUGAUUUUUCCAGUUACUGGAAGAAGCAGCCAUGGAUGGAGUUCUUACGUUUUAACAAAAUCCAAGAAUGAUAAGAAAAGUGUUGAAGGCUACAAGACCUUAAACUAGCUGCCCUGGACUUACAUCUCAGUCUCAGAAAGAGAAGAGGCUGUUAAUAAAACUGAAAGAAAAGUUUUACUUAGCUUGAAAGUAUAUCAGAGGCCCUGCAAAAAUUACAAUACCAGAGUGCUUUACACUGCUUUUCUGACUCCUGCUUCCUUUCCUUGAUCUGGGAAGAUACAAGCCAAUAUGCAGUUUCAGUAGUCUGCACGCUGACUUUCAAGGAGACACUCGGUCUUGCGAACUGGACUGACAGCAGCACCAAGCAAAGGAGCCGUGCUCCUGGGAACUGUAAAUCAAGAUGAGAAACGAGAGUUUCUUUUGUGCCUGCAUAAACGUUGGCAAUCGUCAUAUCAUUCCACCAGGGAAGUAAAAUGUAGGUGCAGUGAGAUUUCCAAAGUGCCAUUCCCGUGCGAUCUCUUUACAGGAGAACCUUCAGCCUCAGACACGCUGUUAAGAUCAAGGAAAAGCACCUAAUGGAGACUCGGUGCCUGCAGAGCGAGAGAGGCCGAAAUCGAAGCUUUUAUACCUGUUUAAUGGAAAAUAACCGGAGCCUGGACUUUUUCAGCAUAGUUAAAGGAUCCUUUAAGUACAAAAACUGAGAAGGCCUCUAAGAGCAAAAGGGUCUUCUGAGGUCAAAGCGGCCAGAAAUUGCUGAGUCAUCACUGAGUUAAAAAAGUUUUUACAAGAACUGAAAGAUAUAAAUGAAUUCUUACAGGAUUCCAGGAAUGCUUAAUCAGAUGGCUUCUCCAAACUUCUCCAGUUGCAACUGCUCCUGAACCUUAUGGUCAGGU